rnacentral:rRNA from 1 species
UGGGGAAUAUUGCACAAUGGGCGAAAGCCUGAUGCAGCAACGCCGCGUGAGUGAUGACAGUCUUCGGAUUGUAAAGCUCUGUCUUUGGGGACGAUAAUGACGGUACCCAAGGAGGAAGCCACGGCUAACUACGUGCCAGCAGCCGCGGUAAUACGUAGGUGGCAAGCGUUGUCCAGAUUUACUGGGCGUAAAGGGUGCGUAGGCGGACCUUUAAGUGAGAUGUGAAAUCCCCGAGCUUAACUUGGGGGCUGCAUUUCAAAUUGGAGGUCUAGAGUGCAGGAGAGGAGAGUGGAAUUCCUAGUGUAGCGGUGAAAUGCGUAGAGAUUAGGAAGAACACCAGUGGCGAAGGCGACUCUCUGGACUGUAACUGACGCUGAGGCACGAAAGCGUGGGGAGCAAACAG